GACGAACGCUGGCGGCGUGCCUAAUACAUGCAAGUCGAACGAGAGCGACCGGUGCUUGCACUGGUCAAUCUAGUGGCGAACGGGUGAGUAACACGUGGGUAACCUGCCCAUCAGAGGGGGAUAACAUUCGGAAACGGAUGCUAAAACCGCAUAGGUCUUCGAACCGCAUGGUUUGAAGAGGAAAAGAGGCGCAAGCUUCUGCUGAUGGAUGGACCCGCGGUGCAUUAGCUAGUUGGUGAGGUAACGGCUCACCAAGGCCGUGAUGCAUAGCCGACCUGAGAGGGUGAUCGGCCACAUUGGGACUGAGACACGGCCCAAACUCCGACGGGAGGCAGCAGUAGGGAAUCUUCCGCAAUGGACGCAAGUCUGACGGAGCAACGCCGCGUGAGUGCAGAAGGUUUUCGGAUCGGAAAACUCUGUUGUUAGAGGAGAAUAAGUGCUAGAGUAACUGUUAGCGCCUUGACGGUAUCUAACCAGAAAGCCACGGCUAACUACGUG
rnacentral:rRNA from 1 species